UACGGGGGGGGCAAGCGUUGUUCGGAAUUACUGGGCGUAAAGGGUUCGUAGGUGGCCAACUAAGUCAGACGUGAAAUCCCUCAGCUUAACUGGGGAACUGCGUCUGAUACUGGUUGGCUUGAGUGCAGGAGAGGAACGCGGAAUUCCAGGUGUAGCGGUGAAAUGCGUAGAUAUCGUAAGGAAGACCAGUGGCGAAGGCGGGUCUCUGGACAGUUCCUGACGCUGAGGCACGAAGGUCAGGGGAGCAAACGGG
rnacentral:rRNA from 1 species